GCCUAAUAGAAGGAGCAACAUGGAAAUCACUUUGUCUCUCCCUGUGUCUCCUUCUCAGGCUCUGUCCAGGUAAGAGAGUCCAUUUCCUGUAGUAUAGACUCAGCCCUCACUGGUGACCUCGGUCCUCUGACAGGUUUGCCUUGGUGAUCCUGGACCAUAUCUACCCUCUACCCCUCUGUUCUUGGGAGCCAGAGUGAGGGGAAAAAGUAGUGUCUACUUAAUCUGAGCACAGGCAAUGUGAAAUUGGAUAUCCAAGAUGGCACCAGGCCCAAGGCUGUCUCAUUACACAAGGAAAUUCUGAGAAGCAUCAUUACCUUCCUAUAUGUUAGGCUCAACUCAGUUCUCCUCCUCAGGCUGGAACUCUCAUAGCAGACUUUGUGUUUGUAAUAUGGGGAGGAUUCUCUCUUAUCAGCAAGGGCAAAUUGUCCUCCAUACUGAGUAACCAUUUAUUCUGUGCCUGUUAAGUACUUCAGUUUCUCUGCUUUUUAAAUAUCAUAUGUCUUAUUUUUAUCUCAUUGCUAGAUCUCUCAUGUAUCAACCAAGUGACACUGUUGCUUCCCAAUCUCCUCACUGAGCUGAGUAUCUGUUGCCUUGGACAAAUAUCUUUGAAAGUAUGACUUCUCUUACAUGAGAAACACAACAUAUAAAGAAUGAGAAGAGCAAAGGAAAAAAAAAGAAAAGCAAGGUAUACUGAUGCAUUUCUGCAAUCACAACACAAGGGAAACUGAGGCAGGGGGAAAAGUGGAAUUUAAGGUCCCUCUGAACUACAUAGCAAGACCUUUUUUAACAUGCUCUCCCUGUGAAAAAAUAAAAGAAGAAAACCUAAAGGUAGUUGCGACAGCCAACCAGAUUCCAUCUUGAGCCUCAACAUCAGCUUAUACCUGUGAAUGGACAAAAUCCUUGAGCUUGGAAAAAACACACAAAACCCCCAUAUGGUGUUUGUCAGUAAACUUGCAGCAGUUACAGGAUGUUGUGUAGCUCACUUAGUGUGUGAAAUUUCCAAGAGCCCCCCCCAAUAACCUGGCAUGGUUCUGCCUCUGUAAGAUUCUGCUUAUUCUCCUCUGAGCCCUCCCAAAUGACAGCAUGAUUUAAAAGGAGAAAUCAAACUGCUUCCCAUUGCCAAGGAAACUUUCUGAGCACUAACCUGCCUUAGCCACUGGUUUAAUAAAAGAACUGAAACCUGGAACAGAGGGUGGCACAUCUCCAUUGUUCUAACUAACUCAUCCAUAACAGCUGGAGCCCCCAGCAAGAUGGUCCCAAUGGGUGGACUGGCCUUGGUAUGGUUCCUCCUGUCUUCAGCAGCUAACUAUAAGGGAGGUAACCCCUGAAACUCUCAGGGUUACAUAAUCUAAUUUCUGAC
rnacentral:lncRNA from 1 species